rnacentral:rRNA from 2 species
CUAUACAUGCAGUCGAGCGGAUCUUCAAGGGAGCUUGCUCCCGNNGAAGGUUAGCGGCGGACGGGUGAGUAACACGUAGGCAACCUGCCCUCAAGACCGGGAUAACAUUCGGAAACGAAUGCUAAGACCGGAUACGCAAGNAGGAGGCAUCUUCUUCUUGGGAAACACGGCGCAAGCUGUGGCUUGAGGAUGGGCCUGCGGCGCAUUAGCUAGUUGGCGGGGUAACGGCCCACCAAGGCGACGAUGCGUAGCCGACCUGAGAGGGUGAACGGCCACACUGGGACUGAGACACGGCCCAGACUCCUACGGGAGGCAGCAGUAGGGAAUCUUCCACAAUGGGCGCAAGCCUGAUGGAGCAACGCCGCGUGAGUGAGGAAGGCCUUCGGGUCGUAAAGCUCUGUUGCCAGGGAAGAAUAAGAGCCAGUUCACUGCUGGNUCGAUGACGGUACCUGAGAAGAAAGCCCCGGCUAACUACGUGCCAGCAGCCGCGGUAAUACGUAGGGGGCAAGCGUUGUCCGGAAUUAUUGGGCGUAAAGCGCGCGCAGGCGGUUUCUUAAGUCUGGUGUUUAAGUGCGGGGCUCAACCCCGUGACGCACUGGAAACUGGGAGACUUGAGUGCAGAAGAGGAGAGCGGAAUUCCACGUGUAGCGGUGAAAUGCGUAGAGAUGUGGAGGAACACCAGUGGCGAAGGCGGCUCUCUGGACUGUAACUGACGCUGAGGCGCGAAAGCGU